GCCUGGGUGGCUCAGUUGGUUGAGCGUCUGACUUUGGCUCAGUUCAUGAGCUCACGGUUGGUGGGUUUGAGUCCCGUGUUGGGCU
rnacentral:tRNA from 1 species